rnacentral:rRNA from 1 species
GAUGAACGCUGGCGGCGUGCCUAAUACAUGCAAGUCGAGCGAACAGACGAGGAGCUUGCUCCUCUGACGUUAGCGGCGGACGGGUGAGUAACACGUGGAUAACCUACCUAUAAGACUGGGAUAACUUCGGGAAACCGGAGCUAAUACCGGAUAACAUGUUGAACCGCAUGGUUCAACAGUGAAAGACGGUCUUGCUGUCACUUAUAGAUGGAUCCGCGCCGCAUUAGCUAGUUGGUAAGGUAACGGCUUACCAAGGCAACGAUGCGUAGCCGACCUGAGAGGGUGAUCAGCCACACUGGAACUGAGACACGGUCCAGACUCCUACGGGAGGCAGAAGUAGGGAAUCUUCCGCAAUGGGCGAAAGCCUGACGGAGCAACGCCGCGUGAGUGAAGAAGGUCUUCGGAUCGUAAAACUCUGUUAUUAGGGAAGAACAAAUGUGUAAGUAACUAUGCACGUCUUGACGGUACCUAAUCAGAAAGCCACGGCUAACUACGUG